rnacentral:rRNA from 1 species
CCUGAGAAAUCCAAAAGAUCGAAAGGAGAGAUUCAGCGUCAGUGGGAUUGGCUCGCGUGCGGCUUGCGAUGCUUUGUGUGUUGGCUUCGGUCAACCAUAGGGGCACGCGGUCGCUGCGCGAGGGGCCCGAUUCUGCCGGCGUGCACUUCUCUCCUAGUAGAACGUCGCGACCCGUUGGGUGUCGUUCAACGGCCCGUAGGUGGUCGACUGUUUCGUGCGUUCGCGCGCACGUUGCAGGCCUACGGUCGCCCGAUCGCGACUGCCCGACGGUAUUGAAUGUAAGCACGAUUGGUAUAGAGCCGCAAAUUUUGAAUGCGUUCGGCUUGACGUUUGGUCUGGUCUCGCUUGGAUUUAACGGACUUUGCGCCGUUGCCGGGUGCUUGACCGGACUUUAAAACGACAAUGUCCUCGAACAGGCUCGCGGUUUUUUCUUCGGAAAAAACUAUUACCGGUCAGCGACGCUUUUGCUUUGGAUACUUUCAGG